CCUACGGGAGGCAGCAGUAGGGAAUAUUCGUCAAUGGACGAAAGUCUGAUCCAGCCACGUAGCGUGAGUGAUGACGGCCCUAGGGUUGUUAAGCUUCUUUUGUAGAGAAGUAAGAUAAAGCAAGUAAGUGGUUUUUAUUGUACCGUAUUAAUUAGGAUCGGCUCACUACGUUCCAGCAGCCGCGGUAAUACGGAGGAUACGAGCGUUAUCCGGAUUGGUUGGGUUUAAAGGGAGCGUAGUGGGGUUGAUAAGUCAGUUGUGAAAGUUUGCGGCUCAACCGUAAAAUUGCAUUAGAUACUGGUAGUCUUGAGUACAGUUGAGGUGGGUGGAACUCGUGGUGUAGCGGUGAAAUGCUUAGAUAUAAAGAAGAACCCCGAUUGCGAAGGCAGCUCACUGGACUGCAACUGACACUGAGGCUCGAAAGUGUGGGUAGCAAACAGGAUUAGAUACCCCGGUAGUC
rnacentral:rRNA from 1 species